rnacentral:lncRNA from 1 species
ACCCUCAGCCCAAAACUUAAUUAAGAAUUAAGAAGUUGUUUGAUUAGGUUCUAGGAUUGUGAAUUGAAAAACCUAAGACACAAACCAUAACACAUUGGGUUAAUGGGUUAGUGGGAAUUAGGUCCAUUAAUUGGGUUAGACCUAUGGUUAGAUUAAAGAUGGACUUAAUUAGAGAAUUGACUAAAUCUAAUCAACUGUUGUCUUAGAUUAGGUCAAGGAUUCUCUAGAUCAAUUAC